GGCAGUGUGUCCUAGUGGAUAGAGCACUGGACUGAACUCAGGAGACCUGGGUUCUAUUCCCAGUUCUGCUA
rnacentral:tRNA from 1 species